rfam:Ictidomys tridecemlineatus contig062701, whole genome shotgun sequence.
GGGGUUGUGGCUCAGUGGUAGAGCACUUGCCUGGCAUGUAUGAGACACUACGUUCAAUUCUCAGCACCA